rnacentral:tRNA from 1 species
GCCUGGGUGGCUCAGUGAUGGAGCAUCUGCCUUUGGCUCAGGGCGUGAUCCUGGGGUUUUGGGAUCAAGUCCCACAUCAGGCU